CAAGCAUGUCAUUUAAUUCUUCAACUAUACUGAUCCCCCACACUCGGCAAACACCCUUUAAAACCAAGAAGUAGAAAAAUGAAAGACCCACCCAAAACACCACUCUCACAGCACUACCAAACAAAACAAGAAACAGAUGCACCUGAUCCAAAAUAAUAACAGCUUCCAAUAGUAAACAAUCUCAAGUAGCUAAAUUUUAUAAGAAGCAAUCCCUUGAAACAAAAAUAAACCACCCAGCAGAGUACUAUAGCAACCCACACCCACAACCAAACCACCAAAAAAACCGCCUAGAAAAUAAGACAACCAGCAAUGGCAAAAAAUGCCACUGCACCUACUAAAAAGGCUAAAAAACCAAAAGAAAACCCAAUAAAACGAGGAAAAACACCACAAAAAUCACAAGAUUUGAUCCAAGAAAAUUCUAAAAAAAAAAUUAAAACUAAAGAAAAGGAAUAACAAGAAAUAAAGCAAAGAGAAACAAAUCAAGCAGUAAAUAACGAAACGAAAUAAAA
rnacentral:lncRNA from 1 species